UACGUAGGGGGCAAGCGUUAUCCGGAAUUACUGGGCGUAAAGCGCACGCAGGCGGUUCGCCAAGUUUGGAGUGACAGUUGUCGGCUCAACCGAUAAAGGACUUCAAAAACUGGUGAACUUGAGAGCGAGAGAGGAACAUGGAACUCCAGGUGUAGUAGUGAAACGCGUAGAUAUCUGGAAGAACACCAAUGGCGAAGGCAAUGUUCUGGCUCGUUUCUGACGCUCAGGUGCGAAAGCCAGGGGAGCGAACGGG
rnacentral:rRNA from 1 species